rnacentral:tRNA from 1 species
GUUAAUAUAGUUUAAUACAAAACAUUAGACUGUGGCUCUAAAAACAGGGGUUAAACCCCCCUUAUUUACC